rnacentral:rRNA from 1 species
CCUACGGGAGGCAGCAGUAGGGAAUAUUGCUCAAUGGGGGAAACCCUGAAGCAGCAACGCCGCGUGGAGGAUGAAGGUUUUCGGAUUGUAAACUCCUUUUGUUAGAGAAGAUAAUGUCGGUAUCUAACUAAUAAGCACCGGCUAACUCCGUUCCAGCAGCCGCGGUAAUACGGAGGGUGCAAGCGUUACUCGGAAUCACUGGGCGUAAAGAGCGCGUAGGCGGGAUAGCAAGUCAGAUGUGAAAUCCUAUGGCUUAACCAUAGAACUGCAUUUGAAACUGUUAUUCUAGAGUAUGGGAGAGGUAGGUGGAAUUCUUGGUGUAGGGGUAAAAUCCGUAGAGAUCAAGAGGAAUACUCAUUGCGAAGGCGACCUGCUAGAACAUAACUGACGCUGAUGCGCGAAAGCGUGGGGAGCAAACAGGAUUAGAUACCCCUGUAGUC